CCUACGAGAGGCAGCAGUGAGGAAUAUUGGUCAAUGGGCUUACGCCUGAACCAGCCAAGUCGCGUGAGGGAAGACUGCCCUAUGGGUUGUAAACCUCUUUUGUCAGGGAGCAAUUGGCGCUACGUGUAGCGUUAUCGAGAGUACCUGAAGAAAAAGCAUCGGCUAACUCCGUGCCAGCAGCCGCGGUAAUCCGGAGGAUGCGAGUGUUAUCCGGAUUGAUUGGGUUCAAAGGGUGCGCAGGGGGAAUGCCAAGUCCUCGGUAAAAGCGCGGGGUCCAACCUCGCUCCGCCGUUGAAACUGGCGUUCUUGAGUGGGCGAGAAGUAUGCGGAAUGCGUGGUGUAGCGGUGAAAUGCAGAGAUAUCACGCAGAACUCCGAUUGCGAAGGCAGCAUACCGGCGCCCAACUGACGCUGAAGCACGAAAGCGUGGGUAUCGAACAGGAUUAGAUACCCUUGUAGUC
rnacentral:rRNA from 1 species